rnacentral:rRNA from 1 species
GGAAUUCAGCGUGUGCGGAGGGUCCGGGAAUCGGGCCGGGGAUCUUCGGACCCCGCCCAGCUCUCGACUGGGCCCGACGCCGCGUGCACUUUCCGCGGGCAGAGCGCCACGACCGGUUUCGCGGCGGCGAUAAGCCCGUUGCGGAUGCGUGGCACGAUCUCACGGUCGUGCUACGGCCGCUCGCGGUGAGCCGCUGUCGGGACCGAGGGACGGCCGCGCGCUUCGAGGCUGCCCGGCCUCGCUGGGGAGUUCGACUGGCAGGGACUGGGUAACCGUGCCUGCCGACUGCUCCCCGGUGCCGGUUCGGGACAGCCGGGCGCGU